rnacentral:sRNA from 1 species
UCUGGUCCUAUGAUUGACAUGAAUGUUG